AAUGGGCGAGAGCCUGAACCAGCCACGUCGCGUGCAGGAAGAAUGUCCUAUGGAUUGUAAACUGCUUUUGUAGGGGAAUAAUUGUAUCCACGUGUGGAUAUUUGCAUGUACCUUACGAAUAAGGAUCGGCUAACUCCGUGCCAGCAGCCGCGGUAAUACGGAGGAUCCGAGCGUUAUCCGGAUUUAUUGGGUUUAAAGGGUGCGUAGGCGGACUUAUAAGUCAGCGGUGAAAUUUUGCAGCUUAACUGCAAACGUGCCGUUGAAACUGUAGGUCUUGAGUGUAGAUAAGGUAGGCGGAAUGUGUUGUGUAGCGGUGAAAUGCAUAGAUAUGACACAGAACCCCGAUUGCGAAGGCAGCUUACCGGGUUACCACUGACGCUGAUGCACGAAAGCGUGGGGAUCAAA
rnacentral:rRNA from 1 species